UACGGAGGGUGCAAGCGUUAAUCGGAAUUACUGGGCGUAAAGCGCACGUAGGUGGUUUGUUAAGCCAGCUGUGAAAUCCCCGGGCUCAACCUGGGCACUGCAGUUGGAACUGGCAAGCUAGAGUAGGGUAGAGGGGUGUGGAAUUCCAGGUGUAGCGGUGAAAUGCGUAGAUAUCUGGAGGAACACCAGAGGCGCAGGCGGCUUGCUGGGUCUGUAUUGACGCUCAGACACGAAAGCAUGGGGAGCGAACGGG
rnacentral:rRNA from 1 species